rnacentral:rRNA from 1 species
AUUGAACGCUGGCGGCAUGCCUUACACAUGCAAGUCGAACGGUAACAGAUCUUCGGAUGCUGACGAGUGACGAACGGGUGAGUAAUACAUCGGAACGUGCCUAGUAGUAGGGGAUAACUACUCGAAAGAGUGGCUAAUACAGCAUGAGAUCUACGGAUGAAAGCAGGGGAUCGCAAGACCUUGGGCUAUUAGAGCGGACGAUGGCAGAUUAGGUAGUUGGUGGGAUAAAAGCUUACCAAGCCGACGAUCUGUAGCUGGUCUGAGAGGACGAUCAGCCACACUGGGACUGAGACACGGCCCAGACUCCUACGGGAGGCAGCAGUGGGGAAUUUUGGACAAUGGGCGCAAGCCUGAUCCAGCAAUGCCGCGCGCAGGAUGAAGGCCUUCGGGUUAUAAACUGCUUUUGUACGGAACGAAAAGCCCUGGGUUAAUACCCUGGGGUCAUGACGGUACCGUAAGAAUAAGCACCGGCUAACUACGUGCCAGCCGCCGCGGUAAUAC